rnacentral:rRNA from 1 species
GACAGAGGGCGCGAGCGUUGUUCGGAAUCACUGGGCGUAAAGCGCGCGCAGGCGGACCAGGCAAGUCUGGAGUGAAAUCUCGCCGCUCAACGGCGAGGCUGCUUUGGAAACUGCGGGUCUGGAGACCGGUAGAGGCUGGUAGAAUUGCAGGUGUAGCGGUGGAAUGCGUAGAGAUCCGGAGGAACACCAGGGGCGAAGGCGGCCGACUGGCCGAGUGCUGACGCUGAGGCGCGACGGCGUGGGGAGCAAACCGG